GAACUGCGAUAAGUAAUGUGAAUUGCAGAAUUCAGUGAAUCAUCGAGUCUUUGAACGCACAUUGCGCCCCCUGGCAUUCCGGGGGGCAUGCCUGUCCGAGCGUCAUUGCUGCCCUCAAGCCCGGCUUGUGUGUUGGGUCGUCGUCCCCCCCGGGGGACGGGCCCGAAAGGCAGCGGCGGCACCGUGUCCGAUCCUCGAGCGUAUGGGGCUUUGUCACCCGCUCGAUUAGGGCCGGCCGGGCGCCAGCCGGCGUCUCCAACCUUAUUUUUCUCAGGUUGACCUCGGAUCAGGUAGGGAUACCCGCUGAACUUAAGC
rnacentral:misc_RNA from 1 species